rnacentral:lncRNA from 1 species
CUCAACUUCAAUGUUCAACCAAUGCAAGCUCGAAAUUAACAUAGACGGCGGUCAAUUCACAUUCCGAUGUUCUGGAAUCUGGAAAUUACAUCAGGCAGUAGCCAUUUGAUACUUCUAAUGUUCAAAUACAUCUACAAAUACAUAUGUUCCAACUGCAAAUGAUGAAGAAAAAAUGGCUAUUAUCUUCUUGUCAUUGCAGUAAAUUCUUAGCACUAGUUUACUCAAUAUUGUCUAUAAAUAGGAAGGUAUUUAUCUAGUGUUAUGUAUGUAGAAGAAGUUAGAAAAAUCACUCAAAGAAAAAAUAGAGAAAGAGUGUGCUGUAGCAACUCCUUUAUAAUCCCUCAAAUUUCAUAAGUAAAAUAUCAUAUUUCUCCUCCCUCUAUCCUUCUACAUCCAACAAAUUUUGGUAUCAGAGCUUAGACAAAACACAUAAACAAAUUCCUACCAAAAGCUAAAACAAAACCAGCCUCAAAAAACUACCAUAGCAGCAACAGAUUUUUAACAAAAAACUAAGGAGCUAUGGCGACAAAUUCAGCAGCCUCCUUUCGUUCACAAAGUCAAGUACCAAUCUAUGAAGGUGAACAUUGUGAAUAUUGGAGUAGUCAAAUGCAAACUUUCUUCAUCUCUUUAUAUUUAUGGGAUGUCAUUAAAGAUGAUGAGUUGAUAGAAAAUUCGACCGCAGACAAUGAAGAAGAUCCAAUGUUACAAAAGGAAUACAAAAAGAAAGAUGCAAUGGCGUUGUGAAAAUCAAUUUUUCCUCAUGUAUUUGGUGUUAAAAAAGCCAAAGAUGCAUGAAAGAUUUUAAAUUGAGAAUUUCAAGGCUCGGAGAAAAACUAUCGCCUUGAAACUUCAAUAUUUAUGGAAAGAUUUUGACGAUCUCAAAAUGGAAGAACGGUAGUCGGUUCGUGAUUUCACUUCAUGAGUUUUGGAGAUUGUAAACCAAAUCAAAAGUUGUGGAGAUACAAUUAAAGACAAAAGAGUUGUUGAGAAAGUGCUUUGAUAUCUCCCUUCGAAAUUCGAUCAUGUAGCCACCACAAUUGAAGAAUCAAGUCUCAAAUGGCCAUGUAUGAGUUAACUGGAUCACUUCUUGCACAUGAGCAAAGAAUCAAUCAUUCGACUAGUCAAUCAACCGAACAAGCUUUCCAAUUAAACUAAGCAUUAAAAAUAAGUUCAAGCAAUCAUGGAGGCUCAAAUAACAAAAAAGGAAAGUUUAGCAAGUAGAGUCAAAAUGAAAAGCAAAGCAAUUGGAAAGCCAAGGCACCACAACAAUCAGGUAAGGCUCUAAUGAGUGUUCCACACUCAUGAUUUUGUGCAUCACUUAACCUAUUAUUAUGCCAUUCUUGAGAGUGUUUUAGAUGUGUAAACAUAUGAUUUUCAUGUUGUUUUGCAGGUUAGAUGAAUGUUGAAAACAAGUAACAAAAGAACCAAAAUGACGAAAAUGGAAAAGCAAGCAAGAAGCAAAGAAAAGAAGCUGUAAAAGAAAAAAAAGAAAUGAAGAGGAAGCAGAAUGCUGGGCGCUGAGGCGCCAGCUAAGCAGCAAAAGGAGUAGAAACGCCGGCACUGCAGCGCCAGAUCCAGGUGCCGCGACGCCGGCCCCGAACAGCAGAAGACCCAGAGCCCAAUUCAUCCACACUCAGUCCAGAAUUCCAAGAGAAUAUAAGUACCAUAAAGAAGACCUAACCAGGGGGAUUGGAACCAGCAGAAACAGACCUUCAAAGGAUGGUUGAAGAUAAAAUUGAAAGGGAAUUUUGGUGGAAUUUGACGGGAGCUUCAGCCGGCUAACUUGGGGGACAAUCUGAAGAGGAAACAGAGACUUUCAGCCGACAACUGGAAGGUGAGAAUCUGGGAAUUGAGUCGAUCAAUUGAGGAAGAAAAGAGGAAUUUUCAGCCGCCCAUUAAUACAGAACUUGAAGAGGGAUUCUGGAAGGAUUUCUACAGUAAAACACAGAAAACUUCAAGGGGAUUGAAAAGAAGUCAGCUGGCAGAGACAAUAAUUUCAAGGGAACGGCUGGAUACAAUUCAAGAAGGAGACGACUCACCUUGAGAAGCGUGGAAACAAAGGGGAAGAAUUGUUUGACACUUUGUUUAUUCUUCUUUCGUUCCUUUAUGUUUUCCAAUAUAAUUUGUUUGAAUUGCACAUCUUCAAUUAUGAACUAAACAAUUUGUCUAGGGUUUGAUUAGCCG